GGGUCAGAGGAAGAUCCUGGGGCGCCUCCACCAUGGCCUGGAUGCCUCUCCUGCUCCCCCUUCUCGCUCUCUGCACAGGUUCUGUGGUUUCCCUUGAGUUGACACAGACGCCCUCAGUGUCUGUGGCCCUGGGACAGACGGCCACAAUCACGUGCCAGGCAGAUGAGGAAGUAUAUGCUAUGUUCUGGUACCAGCAGAAGCCCGGCCAGGCCCCUGUGCUGGUCAUCUAUAGCGACAGCAGCAGGCCCUCAGGGAUCCCUGACCGAUUCUCAGGCUCCAGCUCGGGGAACACGGCCACGCUGACCAUCAGCGGGGCCCAGGCCCAGGACGAGGCGGACUAUUACUGUCAGGUGUGGGAUGCGACUGAUGAUGCUCACAGUGACACAGGCAGACGGGGAAUCUGA